GGCAGGUCCGAAGGUAGGUAGUUAAUUAAAUUGGUUGUUCCUUGUUCUACUUUUUCCCCCUUCUCCUUAAUGCAGUUGACUAGAAAA
ensembl:misc_RNA Y_RNA Y RNA